CUACGGAGGGUGCAAGCGUUGUCCGGAUUUAUAGGGUUUAAAGGGUGCGUAGGUGGUUUUUUAAGUCAGUGGUGAAAGCCUACAGCUUAGCUGUAGAGGUGCCAUUGAAACUGGAAGACUUGAGUAUGGACGAGGUAGGCGGAAUUUGUGGUGUAGCGGUGAAAUGCAUAGAUACCACAAAGAACACCGAUAGCGAAGGCAGCUUACUAGGCCAUAACUGACACUGAGGCACGAAAGCGUGGGGAGCGAACAGGAUUAGAAACCCGGGUAGUCC
rnacentral:rRNA from 1 species